rnacentral:rRNA from 2 species
UACGUAGGUGGCGAGCGUUAUCCGGAAUGAUUGGGCGUAAAGGGUGCGUAGGCGGGCAUUUAAGCCGGCGGUCAAAUGUCGGGGCUCAACCCCGGCCUGCCGUCGGAACUGGGUGCCUUGAGUGGGCGAGAAGUAUGCGGAAUGCGUGGUGUAGCGGUGAAAUGCAUAGAUAUCACGCAGAACCCCGAUUGCGAAGGCAGCAUACCGGCGCCCGACUGACGCUGAGGCACGAAAGUGCGGGUAUCGAACAGG